rnacentral:rRNA from 1 species
GACGAACGCUGGCGGCGUGCUUAACACAUGCAAGUCGAACGGAAAGGCCCUGCUUUUGUGGGGUGCUCGAGUGGCGAACGGGUGAGUAACACGUGAGUAACCUGCCCUUGACUUUGGGAUAACUUCAGGAAACUGGGGCUAAUACCGGAUAGGAGCUCCUGCUGCAUGGUGGUGGUUGGAAAGUUUUGGCGGUUGGGGAUGGACUCGCGGCUUAUCAGCUUGUUGGUGGGGUAGUGGCUUACCAAGGCUUUGACGGGUAGCCGGCCUGAGAGGGUGACCGGGCAAAUUGGGCCUGAGAUACGGCCCAGAGUGCUACGGGAGGCAGCAGUGGGGAAUAUUGCACAAUGGGCGGAAGCCGGAUGCAGCAACGCCGCGUGCGGGAUGACGGCCUUCGAGUUGUAAAACGCGUUCGGCUGUGACGAAGAGUGAGUGACGGUAAUGGGUAAAGAAGCACCGGCUAACUACGUG